rnacentral:rRNA from 1 species
UACGGGGGGGGCAAGCGUUGUUCGGAAUUACUGGGCGUAAAGGGCUCGUAGGCGGCCAUCUAAGUCGGACGUGAAAUCCCUCGGCUUAACCGGGGAACUGCGUCCGAUACUGGAGGGCUCGAGUGUGGGAGAGGGAUGCGGAAUUCCAGGUGUAGCGGUGAAAUGCGUAGAUAUCUGGAGGAACACCGGUGGCGAAGGCGGCAUCCUGGACCAUUACUGACGCUGAGGAGCGAAAGCCAGGGGAGCAAACGGG